rnacentral:rRNA from 1 species
GUCAAGUCAUCAUGCCCCUUAUGUUCUGGGCUACACACGUGCUACAUUGGCCGGUACAAAGGGCUGCAAACCCGUGAGGGGGAGCGAAUCCCAAAAAGCCGGUCCCGGUUCGGAUUGAAGGCUGAAACUCGCCUUCAUGAAGGCGGAGUUGCUAGUAAUCGCGGAUCAGCAAUGCCGCGGUGAAUACGUUCCCGGGCCUU